UGCCUUGAGAUGAGAUUUCCCAGAGCCUUGAGCUCUUUAAAGGGUCGUUCGAGACCAGGACGUUGAUAGGCUGGGUGUGGAAGUGCAGUAAUGCAUUAAGCUAACCAGUACUAAUUGCCCGUACGGCUUGUCCCUAUAACAUUAGCAG
rnacentral:rRNA from 1 species